rnacentral:rRNA from 1 species
UACGUAGGUGGCAAGCGUUGUCCGGAUUUACUGGGCGUAAAGGAUGCGUAGGCGGACAUUUAAGUCAGAUGUGAAAUACCCGAGCUUAACUUGGGUGCUGCAUUUGAAACUGGGUGUCUAGAGUGCAGGAGAGGUAAGUGGAAUUCCUAGUGUAGCGGUGAAAUGCGUAGAGAUUAGGAAGAACACCAGUGGCGAAGGCGGGUCUCUGGGCAAUUCCUGACGCUGAGGCACGAAAGCGUGGGGAGCAAACAGG